AGGUGGUGAAAGUUCUAUUCCUGAUGGCCCCAAAUUCCUGCCCUAUCACCUGUUCUUCCUCUACGCCACACUUGUGCCUUGAAGAAUGAAAUGUAGCAAUUGCCUUGGCCCUUAUAUGGGGGCUGGAAAAUGAAAACCACUGAAGGCUGAAACAGGCCAGGGAAGGAAGGGAACCAAAAGCAGGAUGCACUGCAGGCUGACCAGCUGUUACAGGGAAGAUUAGAAAAGAUCAGAUCAAGUGCUCAGUUGGUUCUUCCUCCCUGUGUCCCCCAAACCAUCCAGGAGCAGGGGCUUGAAAGAUUUACAACGCUUUACACUACUUCAACAGCUAUUUUAAGUCCUUAGAUUUUAUUGCCCCAACCAUGGUCUCCUUGGGAACAGACUGAAUCUGGAUC
rnacentral:lncRNA from 1 species